CUUGGUCAUUUAGAGGAAGUAAAAGUCGUAACAAGGUCUCCGUUGGUGAACCAGCGGAGGGAUCAUUACCGAGUUUACAACUCCCAAACCCCUGUGAACAUACCAAUUGUUGCCUCGGCGGAUCAGCCCGCUCCCGGUAAAACGGAACGGCCCGCCAGAGGACCCCUAAACUCUGUUUCUAUAUGUAACUUCUGAGUAAAACCAUAAAUAAAUCAAAACUUUCAACAACGGAUCUCUUGGUUCUGGCAUCGAUGAAGAACGCAGCAAAAUGCGAUAAGUAAUGUGAAUUGCAGAAUUCAGUGAAUCAUCGAAUCUUUGAACGCACAUUGCGCCCGCCAGUAUUCUGGCGGGCAUGCCUGUUCGAGCGUCAUUUCAACCCUCAGGCCCCCGGGCCUGGCGUUGGGGAUCGGCGGAAGCCCCCUGCGGGCACAACGCCGUCCCCCAAAUACAGUGGCGGUCCCGCCGCAGCUUCCAUUGCGUAGUAGCUAACACCUCGCAACUGGAGAGCGGCGCGGCCACGCCGUAAACCACCCAACUACUGAAUGUUGACCUCGAAUCAGGUAGGAAUACCCGCUGAACUUAAGCAUAUCAAUAAGCGGAGGA
rnacentral:rRNA from 1 species